rnacentral:rRNA from 1 species
GUCAAGUCAGUAUGGCCCUUACGGCCAGGGCUGCACACGUACUACAAUGCCCGGCACAGAGGGAAGCAAGACCGUAAGGUGGAGCAAAUCCCCAAAAACCGGGCCCAGUUCAGAUUGUCGUCUGCAACUCGACGGCAUGAAGCCGGAAUCGCUAGUAAUGGCGCAUCAGCUACGGCGCCGUGAAUACGUUCCCAGGCCUU